rnacentral:rRNA from 1 species
AGAGUUUGAUCCUGGCUCAGGAUGAACGCUAGCGGCAGGCCUAAUACAUGCAAGUCGUACGGGAUCUACUGGUAAGCUUGCUUAUUGGUAGUGAGAGUGGCGCACGGGUGCGUAACGCGUGAGCAACCUACCCUUGUCAGGGGGAUAGCCCGGCGAAAGUCGGAUUAAUACCGCAUGACAUCAUUNGAGAGGCAUCUUUCGAUGAUCAAAGAUUUAUCGGACAAGGAUGGGCUCGCGUGACAUUAGCUAGUNUGGUAAGGUAACGGCUUACCAAGGCUGCGAUGUCUAGGGGCUCUGAGAGGAGAAUCCCCCACACUGGUACUGAGACACGGACCAGACUCCUACGGGAGGCAGCAGUAAGGAAUAUUGGUCAAUGGACGGAAGUCUGAACCAGCCAUGCCGCGUGCAGGAAGACGGCCCUAUGGGUUGUAAACUGCUUUUAUACGGGAACAAACGUCGGUACGU